rnacentral:rRNA from 1 species
AACUAAACGNUGGCAGUGCNUNUUAAGCAUGCAAGUCAAACGGGAUGUAGCAAUACAUCUAGNGGCGAACGGGUGAGUAACGCGUGGAUGAUCUACCUANGAGAUGGGGAUAACUAUUAGAAAUAGUAGCUAAUACCGAAUAAAGUCAAUUAAUUUGUUAAUUGAUGAAAGGAAGCCUUUAAAGCUUCGCUUGUAGAUGAGUCUGCGUCUUAUUAGCUAGUUGGUAGGGUAAAUGCCUACCAAGGCGAUGAUAAGUAACCGGCCUGAGAGGGUGAACGGUCACACUGGAACUGAGAUACGGUCCAGACUCNUACGGGAGGCAGCAGCUAAGAAUCUUCCGCAAUGGGCGAAAGCCUGACGGAGCGACACUGCGUGAAUGAAGAAGGUCGAAAGAUUGUAAAAUUNUUUUAUAAAUGAGGAAUAAGNUUNGUAGGAAAUGACAAAGUGAUGACGUUAANUNAUGNNUAA